AUCACUUCUUAGCCUUUUGGCUGAGAUCAACUGUAGUUUCUGUUCUUGUCAGUUUAAUUCCAUUUUUCACAAACUUUUUGAAGUCCGGGAGAUUUUUAUCUUAGGUAUGGGGUGGGAGGAUGCAUAGAGUGAGCUAAUCAUAUUCUUCGAUUCACGAUUCAUGCUCAUCAUUGGUCUGCGUAUGGCUCCUCCUCU
ensembl:snRNA U2 U2 spliceosomal RNA